GAGAUAUUAGUAAAAAUUACAUAACUUUGUCAGGGUUAAAUUAUAGGUGGAAAUCCUUUAUAUCUUU
rnacentral:tRNA from 1 species